rnacentral:SRP_RNA from 1 species
GCUGGGCACGGUGGUGCGUGCCUGUAGUCCCAGCUAUUUGGGAGGCUGAGGCUGGAGGAUCUCUUGAGUCCAGGAGUUCUGGGCUGUAGUGCGCUAUGCCGAUCGGGUGUCCACACUAAGUUCGGCAUCAAUAUGGUGACCUCCCAGGAGCGGGGGACCACCAGCUUGCCUAAGGAGGGGUGAACCGGCCCAGGUCGGAAAUGGAGCAGGUCAAAACUCCCGUGCUGAUCAGUAGUGGGAUCGAUCGUGCCUAUGAAUAGUCACUCCAGCCUGGCCUGGGCAACAUUGUGAGACCCUGUCUUU